GACCGGGACAAGUUCCGCACAUUUGCUUGAAGGAAAAAAAAAAAUUCUUGUACUGUGAGACUUUAAGAAGCACAAAAUGGGCGUUAGACGGGUCUUACAUUUGGUGCAUUGACCGGGAAUCGUCCUGCUGGCGGGGCCAGUGACAGGAGACCGGAGGAUUGUUCGAGCAGGUUAAAAGGCCUGCAGCUGGUGCAGAGAGAAGUGUGAUCACAGCUGGCAGCUGCACAUGAGCCUGAUACUCCUAAGACAUUGCAUCAGUUCGAGGUUGGAGAUUCAUUCUACGUGAGGCAACAUCGUGCCCAGAGGCUCGAGCCCCAUUGGAAAGGAUCCUAUCUAGUACUGCUAACUACUCCAACGGCUGUCAAAGUGGAUGGAAUUGCUGCCUGGAUACAUGCCUCACAUGUGAAGCCAGCCCCCUUAGCUGAGACCAGAAUUCCAGGAAACCACCCUGUCUGGAAGGCCCAGGCUACGGAGAACCCUCUGAAAGUGAAGAUCGUCAAAGGGUCCAAAGAUGCAAGCCCUUCCCCUGCCUAGCAAGAGCACUGGGAUCCUUUAGGACCAGAGUUAUGGAUGGCUAUCAGAUGCCUUAUGAGUGCUAGCAACUGAAUACGAGUCCUGAAAAGCAGAGAAAAACUGUGAAACUCUGAAACAUGAAGAAAUCCUUACCUGCACAGAAACAGUGCUCUUGAUAUGAGGAGGAAGAGUUUGGACCAUUUCCAAGAAGCAUCGAAGGAGCCCCAAAGUCCAUACAUUAGAAGAGUUAGUGCUCUCGUCUUUAUUUUCAUAUGUAAAAGGAUCAAUUAUAUAAACAACAAUUGCAGGAGGACACAUCAGGAUGUGGCUGAGUGGGAAGAGAAGCUGACUCCCCUGAUAUUCCUGCUGCCUGCAGAGAUGACGACUGCUGUCCUCCUAGCUGGCCACUCUGAACCGUACUUGCUUGUGCAGACAUGGAUCCUGUACCACUAGUGUUCAUACUGCCAAAGGGUGGAAACGAAGGCAGUUUAUUUGAUGAUACUCCACUACUCAGACUGGAAGAUGAUGAAGAUGAAGUUGUGGUCAAAGUUGAAUUAGCUGUGGCAACUGAAGUAGAUAUGGGAACACCUGAAGUCAUUGUCAUAGUGCUACUUGCCGCAGAUGCUAAGGUGGCAGAUGGAGCAUUAGCGUUUCCAGUAUUUGUCAUCUGAGGUGCAGUAACCAAAGACUGAUUUGGAGGGGCAACUAAAUUUGGCUGGGAGAGCAGAGAGCUGUCCAACGGCUGAGAAGCAAGAUAUGGACCUAAAGAACAAAAACGGCAUCUUGAAGAACUGGCUGAAGAGAAAGGAGCAUCCGAAGUAUAUCCUGUGAACACUGCACGCUCGCAUCUACAAUCAUUAAAAAAAAGUCACCUCUCAAACUACAGGAUCAAAGAACAGAAAAAUCAUUCUAAAGACUGAAGAAAAAAAAAUUACAUGGUAGAACUAUGAAACUUGAUCAUCUAUCUUUCAAACAUACCCACAUCAAGAUUUACAGGAAACCAUGUCAAGGUGACUUUAACAUGAGAGUAAAAAUCAAUCAAAUGUGUUUUAUUAUAAAAUAUUUCCUACUGUUCAGAGCUAAAACAUAGUAAUAAAGUCAUAAAUCACUUCCAAAACUCAAACUGUUAUGAAAUCAAUGAAAUUUAACUUAAUCCUAAUCAUUAGUAGGAUACUUACUGUUAAUUCAUCUUCAUCAGAAUUGAAGAGGUUAUCAAGGUCAGUGUAAGACACAGCCAAAUCUGAGUCAUAAAUCAAACUGGUUGAUGGAGGACGGGCAUGAUUUGUAGGGCGUGGAGCAUCUACAUGUGACAAUCAGAAAAAAAUAAACUGAAAACUCAACUAUUAGCCAAGUAGUAUUCUAUUUAACUAAACAAGAGAGAAAACCUAAUGUUCACAAAAACUAUGCAACACGAUUAUUCUAGUCACUAAUUUAAAAUCUGAAAUUCUUUUCUCAUAAAUAAAGCUUCCCGAGGAAGCUCCAAAAGUUACAUAAUCUACACCAUAGUUAAGCUCUGUAGAAAAGGUCAUAAAAAUACAAAUGCCAUUAGAAUGAUACUUAAAAACACAUACUUUUCCUUUUUUGUGUGUGUUAUGUGAUGUGAUUGAAUAUAUGCAGAUUCACAGGUACCUGCGCACAUUAUAUGCAUAAUAUGGAAGCCAGAGGUUGACAUGGGGCAUCUGCCUUAGUUGCUUCCUAACUUAUACAUUAAGUAUGGUCUCUCCUUUGAACCUACAGCGCACUGAUUCAAUGAGUCCAGCUAUCCAGCUUUCUCUGGGAACUCCCUAGCUCCUCUUCUCCGAUGCUAGAAUUUCAGGCAGGCUCCAUCACACUUGCCUGACAUUUAUGUGGCUACUGAGGAUCCCAACUUGCACUGUCAUGCUUGUCCGGCAAACAAUUUAAAAGCUAAGCCAUCUAUCCAGGCCUUUUUCAUUUUGAAACAGAUGGGAUUUAUUUAAGCAAAUAAGGCUGCAUGUAAAUAUCGUAAUAAAGACGAUAGAAUCACAGAAUAUCAAGCUAAUUAUGUAUGAUGAAUACAUGUUAAGUAUCUGUUAAAAAAAAGAAAUAUUUAUAGAUAAUAAUGGAGUA
ensembl:antisense Brip1os BRCA1 interacting protein C-terminal helicase 1, opposite strand